GGGGAUAUAGUAUAAUUUGGUAGUACAGCAAUUUUGCGUAUUGAUAAUUUAGGUUCAAGUCCUAAUAUCUCCA
rnacentral:tRNA from 2 species